UACGGGGGGGGCAAGCGUUGUUCGGAAUUACUGGGCGUAAAGGGUUCGUAGGUGGCUUGCUAAGUCAGACGUGAAAUCCCUCGGCUUAACCGGGGAACUGCGUCUGAUACUGGAUGGCUUGAGGUUGGGAGAGGGAUGCGGAAUUCCAGGUGUAGCGGUGAAAUGCGUAGAUAUCUGGAGGAACACCGGUGGCGAAGGCGGCAUCCUGGACCAAUUCUGACGCUGAGUGAGCGAAAGCAAGGGGAGCAAACGGG
rnacentral:rRNA from 1 species